rnacentral:rRNA from 1 species
CCUACGGGGGGCAGCAGUGAGGAAUAUUGGUCAAUGGCCGGAAGGCUGAACCAGCCAAGCCGCGUGAGGGAGGAAGGCGCAGAGCGUCGCAGACCUCUUUUGCCGGGGGACAAAAGGCCGGACGGGUCCGGUUCUGAGGGUACCCGGAGAAAAAGCAUCGGCUAACUCCGUGCCAGCAGCCGCGGUAAUACGGAGGGUGCGAGCGUUAAUCGGAAUUACUGGGCGUAAGGCGCUCGUAGGCGGUAUGUCAAGUCAAGGGUGAAAUCCCCGCGCUCAACGUGGGAACUGCCUUUGAAACUGGCAAACUGGAGUGUGUGAGAGGAUAGUGGAAUUCCUGGUGUAGCGGUGAAAUGCGUAGAUAUCAGGAGGAACACCGGUGGCGAAGGCGGCCUGCUGGACUGCAACUGACGUUGAGGCCCGAAAGCGUGGGGAGCAAACAGGAUUAGAUACCCCUGUAGUC